AAAUUUAGUUUUAAUUUUUCUGGGAAGAAAUCCAAAGACUCCGGCAGGAAAACAAAUCACUGAAGGAAGACAGGGCAGAAAUGCAGAGUACAGCAGGAAAACAYCCCUGAGGGAAGAAGUUAAGAUGCUAAGGAGUGGGCCAGCAGGUCCAGGUGGUAUCGGAUCACUGAGUUAAAAAGUGGUGCAGGUUGCUACCAUACCAGGGACCUUUACUGCAAGUGGGCAAUCAGGUCUGGAUAACACACUUUUGCUGCGGCGUAUUGGAGCAGAGGAUGAUCCAACGCUUGAGAUGGAUAACAAGAUGUAUAACUUGUUAGCCUAUCAACAGGCCAAUGGGUCGGUUGGAGCUUUGUCUUUGCCUGAUGAUCUCAAUAACCCGAUGGAGGACCGGCAAGCCCUGGAGCUGCUGGAGACCAGGCUGACCAGGACACGAGCCCAAGGAGAGACUUGUAAGUGUGCUCAGAAUUUUAAAUAGUAUGGCUUUUUCCUGGAAGGUAAAAGAGACAUUCAACUUUGACCCUGUUMUUGUGAUCGUUGU